UACGUAGGCAGCAAGCGUUGUUCGGAGUUACUGGGCGUAAAGAGUGUGUAGGCGGUCCUCUAAGUUUGGUGUGAAAUCUCCCGGCUUAACCGGGAGGGUGCGCCGAAGACUGGAAGGCUUGAGUAUGGGAGAGGAAAGCGGAAUUCCUGGUGUAGCGGUGAAAUGCGUAGAUAUCAGGAGGAACACCUGUGGUGUAGACGGCUUUCUGGACCAUGACUGACGCUGAGACACGAAAGCGUGGGUAGCAAACAGG
rnacentral:rRNA from 1 species